rnacentral:rRNA from 1 species
CCUACGGGAGGCAGCAGUGAGGAAUAUUGGUCAAUGGACGAGAGUCUGAACCAGCCAAGUAGCGUGAAGGAUGACUGCCCUAUGGGUUGUAAACUUCUUUUAUAUGGGAAUAAAAUGUUCCACGUGUGGGAUUUUGUAUGUACCAUAUGAAUAAGGAUCGGCUAACUCCGUGCCAGCAGCCGCGGUAAUACGGAGGAUCCGAGCGUUAUCCGGAUUUAUUGGGUUUAAAGGGAGCGUAGGUGGAUUGUUAAGUCAGUUGUGAAAGUUUGCGGCUCAACCGUAAAAUUGCAGUUGAAACUGGCAGUCGUGAGUACAGUAGAGGUAGGUGGAAUUCGUGGUGUAGCGGUGAAAUGCUUAGAUAUCACGAAGAACUCCGAUUGCGAAGGCAGCUCACUGGACUGCAACUGACGCUGAGGCUCGAAAGUGUGGGUAUCAAACAGGAUUAGAUACCCCAGUAGUC